rnacentral:rRNA from 1 species
UAGGGAAUCUUCGGCAAUGGACGGAAGCCNGGACCGAGCAACCNCACGUGAGUGAAGAAGGUUUUCGGAUCGUAAAGCUCUGUUGUAAGAGAAGAACGAGUGUGAGAGUGGAAAGUUCACACUGUGACGGUAUCUUACCAGAAAGGGACGGCUAACUACGUGCCAGCAGCCGCGGUAAUACGUAGGUCCCGAGCGUUGUCCGGAUUUAUUGGGCGUAAAGCGAGCGCAGGCGGUUAGAUAAGUCUGAAGUUAAAGGCUGUGGCUUAACCAUAGUACGCUUUGGAAACUGUUUAACUUGAGUGCAAGAGGGGAGAGUGGAAUUCCAUGUGUAGCGGUGAAAUGCGUAGAUAUAUGGAGGAACACCGGUGGCGAAAGCGGCUCUCUGGCUUGUAACUGACGCUGAGGCUCGAAAGCGUGGGGAGCAAACAGGAUUAGAUACCCUGGUAGUCCACGCCGUAAACGAUGAGUGCUAGGUGUUAGACCCUUUCCGGGGUUUAGUGCCGCAGCUAACGCAUUAAGCACUCCGCCUGGGGAGUACGACCGCAAGNUUG